rnacentral:lncRNA from 1 species
GCCAAGAAUUGCUAAGUAACUAUGUAACAUAUAUGAAGAUAGUCAUCCCCCAGCAAUCAAGCAGUCAUUGUAAGCCAAAAUGUAGUGUACUUGGUAUGUAACUACUCCAGACAGUACACUCAACACUUAAAAUUUCAUGUAAACCCUCUCAGAAAUUGAUUAGAAUACGAUUUCCAUUAGUGAAUUUUUUUCAUUUUGCUCUCGUCAAUUUUUUUUUUCAUUUUAUAUUUAUACCAUUUCACUCUGGAAAAUACUGAAAACCCAAUUCUGGCACAUUGUAGUGAUUUCAGUUAGUAAAGGUUUUUAUUUUAAUAACUAAGAUGUCUAUCCUAUGCAUAAGUUAUAUCAGAGGGCAUAACAAUUAUUAGACAAAUAGAAAUUAAUUAAUCUCCUUAGACAUUGUGAAUGAGAAAAAAAAAAAAAAACAUUUUUAAAGGAACUACAUUUGUUUUUUGUUUUUUUUUUUGCCAAACCGGUACAAGCUAGAAAAUGCACUAAGGACUGAGUGACCUGCCUUGUUCAUUUUGCCACUGGAUGAUGUAAGUUAAGAAUGGAAUUGUUAGCCCUAACUAUAUAUUUUCUUGACUUUCAUCAGUUUCUAAAGAAAUCUAAUUUAAGUGUUUGGGGUUUUGUUUGACGUGUAUUUAUUGAGUUCUGGUCUUAGACCAGGAGCUAUCUGCAUGUCACGUUUAUUGGAUGGCCAAGAACACAGUUAUUGGGAGACUUAAUGGCUCAAAACCUUCUGAAUCAUUUAACUUAUUUUGUAUGUUGCAAAAGAAAAAAAAAGUUUAUUUUGCUUGAGAGUCACAUUUUUAUAACUGUACAGCUUUUAAGGGAUGGGAGGUGGAAAAUACCCUAAAAUAGGAUGUAGAUUUUUACAAUUGUGUUUAUGCUAGAACAUCUACAGGUGCAUUAUGUAAUUAAACCUAAAAUUGUUU